AUUCCUUCUCAGACCUCAUUUAAGGGUUGGUUGUGGAGGCAAGAGCUUCUCAUUUGGCAAUCUCUGUCUACCUGAGGACUUUACAGGCUUUCUGAAGAUGGCGCCAGAGGGGAGUCUGCAAAAUGGUGUCUGGUAUGGAAGUGCAUAUGAUGCAAGGGAGUGGGAAUGUGUUCCUUCAUGAGAUCCUUGUGCUGACUGGACAGUAUGAGAAACUGAAAAACUGAAACAUCCUUGACUUUGUGCAGCGUUGCUCAGCAACAACUGAAACAUUGGUGUGUUAUCAACAUUGAUGUUCUUCUAAAGUCUAAACAUGGCAUAUCAGCCACUGUGAAGAAAAUCAGCUUUGUCCGGGCUAAAACCAGGACAGUAGUCUAAUAG